UGUGAUUGUGAGCGUCCAUGCAGUCAUUACAUAUCAUUAUUAUACACUCUGCUGACCUGAGAAACUUAGCUGGACCCAAUGCAUUC